rnacentral:rRNA from 1 species
GACGAACGCUGGCGGCGUGCUUAACACAUGCAAGUCGAACGGAAAGGCCCUGCUUUUGUGGGGUGCUCGAGUGGCGAACGGGUGAGUAACACGUGAGUAACCUGCCCUUGACUUUGGGAUAACUUCAGGAAACUGGGGCUAAUACCGGAUAGGAGCUCCUGCUGCAUGGUGGGGGUUGGAAAGUUUCGGCGGUUGGGGAUGGACUCGCGGCUUAUCAGCUUGUUGGUGGGGUAGUGGCUUACCAAGGCUUUGACGGGUAGCCGGCCUGUGAGGGUGACCGGGCACAUUGGGACUGAGAUGCGGCACAGACUCAUACGGGAGGCAACAGUGGAGGAUAUGACACAAUGGGCGGAAACCUGAUGAAGCAACGCCGCGUGCGGGAUGACGGCCUUCGGGUUGUAAGCCGCUUUCGCCUGUGACGAAGCGUGAGUGACGGUAAUGGGUAAAGAAGCACCGGCUAACUACGUG